rnacentral:misc_RNA from 1 species
UUUCCGUAGGUGAACCUGCGGAGGAUCAUUAUUGGAUUUUGAAACUUCAGGCUGCUGCUGGCUCUCCUCGGAGGGCAUGUGCACGCUUGUUGUCCAUUAUUUCUCCCACUGUGCACAAAUUGUAGACCUUUCAGUAGGCCUAUGUUGUUUUUCACAAUCUCUGAAUGUAAUAGAAUGGUUUUGAAUCUUGGGAAAUACAAUACAACUUUCAGCAACGGAUCUCUUGGCUCUC